UACGGAGGGUGCAAGCGUUAAUCGGAAUUACUGGGCGUAAAGAGUGCGUAGGUGGUUAAUUAAGUUAUCUGUGAAAUCCCUGGGCUCAACCUGGGCAGGUCAGAUGAUACUGAUUGACUCGAGUACGGGAGAGGGUAGUGGAAUUUCCGGUGUAGCGGUGAAAUGCGUAGAGAUCGGAAGGAACACCAGUGGCGAAGGCGGCUACCUGGCCUGAUACUGACACUGAGGCGCGAAAGCGUGGGGAGCGAACAGG
rnacentral:rRNA from 1 species